CCUACGGGAGGCAGCAGUAGGGAAUCUUCCACAAUGGGCGAAAGCCUGAUGGAGCAACGCCGCGUGAGCGAAGAAGGUCUUCGGAUCGUAAAGCUCUGUUGUAAGGGAAGAACAAGUGCGGUAGUAACUGACCGCACCCUGACGGUACCUUACGAGAAAGCCACGGCUAACUACGUGCCAGCAGCCGCGGUAAU
rnacentral:rRNA from 2 species